CAAAAACAUCUUUUCUUGUUAGUUUCUGAAGUAUGGCCUGCCCGCUGACGUAUUUUGAGUUGAAGGGCCGCGGUAUUUUGACCGUGCAAAGGUAGCAUAGUCAUUAGUUCUUUAAUUGUGAUCUGGUAUGAAUGGCUUGACGAGACAUGGGCUGUCUUGGGUGUGAAUUUGUUGUUGAAUUUGGAGUUUAAGUUAAAAUUCUUAGAUGUUUUUAUGGGACGAGAAGACCCUAUAGAGUUUGACAUUUGAUUGCGUAUUUCUUGUUGUUUGUUUUGAAUUUUUGUGCAUCUCUUGUUUUGUUGGGGUGAUGGGAGGAAUUUAUUUAACUCCUCUUUUAUGUGGU
rnacentral:rRNA from 1 species